CAGUCGCCGCGGGAAUACGAAGGGUGCAAGCGUUACUCGGAAUUACUGGGCGUAAAGCGUGCGUAGGUGGUGGUUUAAGUCCGUUGUGAAAGCCCUGGGCUCAACCUGGGAAUUGCAGUGGAUACUGGGUCACUAGAGUGUGGUAGAGGAUAGUGGAAUUUCCGGUGUAGCAGUGAAAUGCGUAGAGAUCGGAAGGAACAUCUGUGGCGAAGGCGACUAUCUGGGCCAACACUGACACUGAGGCACGAAAGCGUGGGGAGCAAACAGGAUUAGAUACCCCCGUAGUCCCUGUCUCUUAUAC
rnacentral:rRNA from 1 species